rnacentral:rRNA from 1 species
GACGAACGCUGGCGGCGUGCCUAACACAUGCAAGUCGAACGGAAAGGCCCGGCUUUUGGGGGGUGCUCGAGUGGCGAAGGGGGGAGUAACACGUGAGUAACCUGUACCUGACUGUGGGGGGACUUAAGGAAACUGGGGCUAAUACCGGAUAGGAGCUCUUGCUGCAGGGUGGGGGUUGGAAAGAUUCGGCGGUUGGGGGUGGACUCGCGGCUUAUCAGCUUGUUGGUGGGGUAGUGGAUUACCAAGGCCUUGACGGGUAGCCGGCCUGAGCGGGUGAGCGGCCCCACCACGCCUGGGCUACGACCCAGCCUCCACCGGUACGCAACGGUGCAGAGUAUUACACAGGAGGAGGGAGCCUGGUGUGAUCCAGCCGCGCGCGGGAAGUCGUGCUUCGGGUAGUAAACUAAUUUCGCCUUUGCCGAGGCGUGAGUGACGGUACCGGGUAAAGAAGCACCGGCUAACUACGUG